UAGAGGCACCGAAGGAGAUUCUUCUA
rnacentral:piRNA from 1 species